CACGGAUUCAUUUGGAGGAUGGAGGCUCCGGCUUUUUACAAACACGGACCAAAACGGCCUGCACCAAAGGGCAAGAUGCCGUCUCCACAGAUAAAACGGAAAAAAACAUCAACAGUGCCGCCAAAGAAGACUGUUCGCUUGGUGAAGAAGAAAGCAGCUUCCACCAUUUGCGUUGAGAAAGGAGUGGGCCCAGUCAGCACCUGGAAACAGCAGUAUGUCCAUGAACUUUCCAGC